rnacentral:lncRNA from 1 species
CCUCAUGCGCAGCAUUGUCUGCAGUGAGUCGUAGAGUUUUCUCCUUCAUUUUCACAAGUUCCAUUAGCAUGUUUGUGCCAAAGCCUCCUGGAGCAGCUCUGCUCCUUGCUCCAGCAUCAUCCUGUCGCCAGAGUUUUGCAGGCCUGCCCAAUAUCGUACUAAAAAGGAAUAAGCAUAACAUAUGAAUUCAGCAGGGAAUCUCACGAGCUUUUUAUCGAAACAAGCUUGACUGCGAAUCUUCCAUAUAGCUCAGCAUAUAGCUGCAAGCCCAACAAUUUCAAUAUUAGGGCGACUAUUGCCAAUAAAUUUAGCAAUACAGUCAAAAUAGUGGGAGAAAAACCAGGACUAGUUUGAGCACAAACAAAUUUUGCAGCAGAGCACUGGAAGAAUAGAUGGUGAAUACUCUCAGAUUCAGUCAUUCAGAACAAGAAUUGACACACAGGGUUCCAUGUCCAUUUUCUUUUUACCCUAUUGUCCUAAUAGGCUACAUGCUGGAAAGAAAUCAGCUUCGUUACUUUGGCAUGUGAAAUGCAGUUACAAUGCUCUAGCAUCUACCACAGUUGACUGCCUAGAGCAUAGGGAAGAGAAUCCAUUGGGGCAUGAUCACUAAUAACUCGCAGCGUCGAGGGAAGCAAAUCGUUGACUCGGACAUCACGAAUUUUGUAACUGAACUUGAAGUUAACUUGAGCUCCUGACCAUGUGAUGGCAUAGGAUUCUGAAACUGAACACCGACCAGAUCCAUGGCAGCACCACACAACACAUGGAGCCAAAAGUUACGGGGGCCUCCAAGUAUGCAGAACUCUACUAGGAGAUGCAGAACUCUACAACUACUAGGAGAAGAUAACCGAAUUACCCUAUGAAAAUGAACCAGACAAGUCUUGAGUGCUUGUAGCAUAGUCAAGACAAACCUGCUACACUACGUCCAAAGCACAGUCAAAACUGACAAACCCCUUGGCGAAUCUGCUGAUGGACUAGAAACUGAAAAACGUAACAGUUCAACCAGAAGAAGAGACGCGCUUUACAUAACAGGGCAUUUGCAUUGGCAAUAGCUGAACAUACCAUAUCUCAUGACAAAGAAAUGACUAAAUUUGGUUAGAACUAACAGUUCACAUCAACUCUCAAUUGGUUUAGAACUUCAAAGUACACAAAAACUGAUGUAUUGCAUACCAGCCAUAUUAAGUGCUUCAAAACUAAAUUGAUGAAUCUGAAGCUAGGACACAUCACACAUCAGGCAGGUACAGUUUCGAGGAUUUCCAGCUGCUCAUAUAUGACAAAAAACAAGAUAUCGUCCUACCCAACUACCACCAAUGGCAAUGCAAAUAGGGAAGCAAAAUAAUUGGCUCAGAGGGACGACCAUAUCCUACUGAAGAAGAACCAAUAAGCACAUGACGAAUAUCUUUUAGGGAAGUGAAGUGUACACUUGCGACAAAUGAAAAUCCUAGCUGUUUUACCGAUAACAAAUGCAACCUCUGUACACUAGCAUAAGACGUUUUAACAGUUCAAUUUGAAACGUCUUACCUUAGUUUACAGAGGGAGUAAAUAGGAAACCUGUCAGGAACCUGACAA